CCUACGGGAGGCAGCAGUGAGGAAUAUUGGUCAAUGGGCGCAGGCCUGAACCAGCCAAGUCGCGUGAGGGAUGACUGCCCUAUGGGUUGUAAACCUCUUUUAUAAGGGAGGAAUAAUGGCUACGUGUAGCCUGUUGCGCGUACCUGAUGAAUAAGCAUCGGCUAACUCCGUGCCAGCAGCCGCGGUAAUACGGAGGAUGCGAGCGUUAUCCGGAUUUAUUGGGUUUAAAGGGUGCGUGGGUGGUAUUUUAAGUUGGUGGUAAAAGGUCGGGGCUACACCUUGAUUUGCCAUUAAAACUGGAAUACUAGAGUACAGAAGAGGUAGGCGGAAUAAGUGGUGUAGCGGUGAAAUGCUUAGAUAUAACGAAGAACCCCGAUAGCGAAGGCAGCUUACCAGACUGUAACUGACGCUGAUGCACGAGAGCGUGGGUAGCGAACAGGAUUAGAUACCCUUGUAGUC
rnacentral:rRNA from 1 species